rnacentral:rRNA from 1 species
UACGGAGGAUCCAAGCGUUAUCCGGAAUCAUUGGGUUUAAAGGGUCCGUAGGCGGUUUGGUAAGUCAGUGGUGAAAGCCCAUCGCUCAACGGUGGAACGGCCAUUGAUACUGCCAGACUUGAAUUACUAGGAAGUAACUAGAAUAUGUAGUGUAGCGGUGAAAUGCUUAGACAUUACAUGGAAUACCAAUUGCGAAGGCAGGUUACUACUAGUGGAUUGACGCUGAUGGACGAAAGCGUGGGUAGCGAACAGG